CCGCGCCCACCGCGGCCCGCACGGCCGGCGUCUCGAGCGCGCCGGGCGCGGCGACGUCCUGCUCGACGAGCGCGAACC
rnacentral:tRNA from 1 species